rnacentral:lncRNA from 1 species
UACCGACCCGGUGAGUUGAAGCUUGGCAAGGGCGUCCUUUUGGAGGCUCAGCCUAACGAGAUAUUUUAUUCCUUUCACGAGGAUGAGAUACCUGCUGCGUCUUUGCUUCAUCCGUGUAAAGUUACCUUUCUUCCCAAAGGCGUUGAACUCCCAUCUGGAAUCUCUUCGUUUGUUUGCUGGAGGGUUUAUGAUGUUAUGAACGAGUCUAUUUGGUGGCUCACUGAUCAAGAUUAUAUCGAUGUGAGUGAGUGAGAUCAUAAUCAUUAUUAUCCAAUUCUGUUUCUUCUCUGGUUUUGACAACUGUUUUUCUUUAUGCAGGAACGUCAACAAGAAGUAGAUAACUUAUUGCGUAAGACUCGUUCCAAGAUGACAUUACAGCAGGGUGGUCGUUCUCCUAAGUCAACGAAUAGUCCGACAACAUCUCAAGCGAAAACAGGAACAGAAGGUAUGCAGAACAGCAGCUCCUCUUCUUCACAGGGCAAAGGAAGGAAGAGAGAGCGUGGUGAUCAGGGUUCUGAAUCUGUGAAAAGAGAACGCCCAAGUCGGAUUGAUGAUGGUGGUUCUGGUUUUGUAAGAACAGAAAGCAGUUUGAAAUCUGAGAUUGCAAAAAUUACUGAGAGAGGGAGGCUAGUGGAUUCUGAAGGGGUUGAGAAAUUGGUACAGCUCAUGCUGCCCGAGAAGAACGAGAAGAAAACAGAUUUGAUUGGGCGAUCCAUUCUUGCAAGUGUUGUAGCAGCAACAGACAAGUUUGAUUGCCUCAGUCGUUUUGUCCAGCUGAGGGGAUUACCUGUUUUUGAUGAGUGGCUACAGGAAAUUCAUAAAGGGAAAAUUGGGGAUGGGAGCAGUCCCAAAGACAAUGGUAGAUCAGUGGACGAUUUUCUUUUGAUCUUGCUGCGUGCUCUUGACAAGCUGCCUGUGAAUCUCAAUGCUCUUCAGACUUGCAACAUUGGAAAGUCUGUUAACCAUUUGCGAUCACAUAAGAACUCGGAAAUCGGGAAAAAGGCAAGGAGCUUGGUUGAUACAUGGAAGAAACGUGUUGAGGCAGAAAUGGAUGCCAAGUCGGGAUCUAAUCAGGGUGCAUCUUGGCCUGGAAGAUAUCGUCAGUCUGAAGUUUCUCAUGGCGGUAGACAUUCAGGUGUAUCUGCUGAUGCAGCCAGGACAUCAGCAUCUCAUCAACAUCCUUCUAAGUCCGUGUCUGUCAUAAUACCGUCAGAUAACAACAUGAAGUCUGCAACCACAUCUCCAAGUUCUACUAGAUCAGCACCAUCACUUGGAACAGGUGUAGCUGUCGUUAAUGAUGGGCAACAAAGAGAUACUGGUGCAGUCCAUAGGGAAGUUGGGCUGAGCAGGAGCUUCUCAUCACAAAGAACAGCAACUGAAAAGACUCCUGACAUACCUAUGGCUGAAGGUUGCAGUAACAAGUUAAUUGUUAAGCUGCCAAAACGUGGUCGCAGUCCGGCACAGAGUUUUAGUGGAGGUUCCUUUGAGGAUCAUGCAGCUGGUAGUAGCAGGGCUCCAUCACCUGUUCCUUCAGAGAACAAUGAUACAAAUCGACCUAAUUUUAGCGUUGAUGGGUCUAGUAAAAUAGAAGAUAUUAUCAAACCCACGUCUCCUACCUUAGGAGAUGUUGUCAAACCUGGAAAAGGGGAUAGUGGAUCACACAGCUCAAUGAAUGCCUUGAUUGAAAGUUGUGUCAGGGACUCUGAGGCAAAUGCAUGUGAGGCUGGUGUGGAUGACGUUGGAAUGAAUCUUCUAGCUUCUGCUGCUGCUGAUGAAAUUUCCAAAUCCCCUGUUGCAUCACCCGCGGUAUCCCUGGUUUCAGAUUCCUUGAUGAAUGAUAUUUCAGAGAACCAUAUAACAGGUUUGCCUAACGAGCAAGCUGAAGCUCUUGCCAAGGAUCCCACCAUUGUUGAACAUGUCAGUAGUAUUGGCGACCAGUUGGCCUCUGUAGUGAAUGUGAAUGAUUCUAAGCCCUCUGAUUCAGAAAUGGAAGAGUUGCAAAGAUUGGUGGAUCAGUGCCUAGAAAGCAAUGAAAAUUCAGAUGAUAUUGCCCCAACCGCUGGGCACACAUCAGGCAUUAGGGGAAACAUUUCUGAUGAUGGUGAUAGUCGGGUAGUUGCUGACGUAAAGACUGAAGAGAUAUCAGAGACAGAUGGAGUGGCAGAUACAGUGAUGAGGACAGGAAACUCUGCCUUACGUAAAUGUAAAACCGUUGGCAAAAGUCAAAAUGAGGAUUCUUUGACUGCUGAAGAUUCACACUUGGGUGCUGUUGGUGGUGCUCAGGUGGAAGAUAAACCAAAGGUGAUAUUGAGUUCUGAGCUAGUUAAUAAAAUGGGUGAAGUGGUUUCGGUUUUGUCAGAGUUUGCCAAGGAUAGGAGUACUGAAAAUGUUGAUAGAUCGAUGCCAGAGAAAUUGUCUGAUGAUAAUGAUUGUGGUGGAACAGCUAACGAUCGAAAGGCUGCUUGUACAUCAGUGGAAACUUCUGCGCCAGCUGAAUGUAAAGCCAUCGUAUUAUGUCCCAAAGUAGAAUCCUUGGUUGUUGCAAAUUCACACACUGAUAACAAGGAAGAGCAUAAACCCCCGGUAGUCUUGAGUUCUGAGUUGGAUAAAGAAACGGCUGAAGAUCUAACUGUUUCGUCCGAGCUCUCCAAGGGCAUAGCUGCAGAAAAGAUGGACGUGGGGAUUAAUCAUGUGAACCAGACAGAUAAAAAGAGCAAGCCUGUGACAGCGCAUCUGUACUCAUCUUUAACUAACGGUGAAAUUGAGCAUGUAGAGGCGUCUCUAAAGAGUGCUGAAGUCGGAAAACGGUGCGCCACGACAACAUGUGAUGAUGGGGAUGAAGUCGAGGAAUGUACCUCUGUUGCCAAAGAUGUUCCUUCAGUUUCAGCUUCAGCUUCAGCAGGGUCAGAGCUAGAAGCCAGAGUUGAAUUUGAUCUAAAUGAAGGUUUCAGUGGGGAUGAUACACGAGAUGGGAAUUCAAAUAACUUAUCUGGAUCAUUAUCUUUAACACCUACUCCUUUACAGCCCAGUCUACCUCCUGCAUCCGUUACAGUUGCUGCUGCUGCAAAAGGUGCAUUUGUUCCGCCUGAUGAUCUAUUGAGAAAUAAAGCAACUGUUGGCUGGAGAGGAUCUGCUGCCACUAGUGCCUUCCGGCCACCUGAGCCAAGAAAAGUCCAAGAGGUGGUGCCACUAAACAUAAAUAAUGUGGCUUCCUGUGAUGCUUCGACAACUGCUGGCAAGCAAACAAAGACAUUCUUGGACUUCGACCUAAAUGUACCGGAUGAAAGAGUUCUUGAAGAUCUGCCUUCCCAAAGAUUUGCCAAUCCCACAAAUUCCUCUGGUGGGCUGGAUCUUGAUCUAAACAGACUUGAUGAUCCAGCUGAUAUGAAUAAUCAUACAAUAAGCAGUGUUCAUCGAGUGAAUUCAACUUUUCAACAGGCAAACUUAUCUUCUGGUGGUAGUAGGGAUUUUGAUUUAAACGAUGGACCUGCUGUCGAUGAUGUUAACGCUGAGUCAUCUCUGGGUUUUAGUCAAAAUUCCCGAAGUGCACAGCCAGUGAUCAGUGGAAUAAGGCCUGGCUUCUCAUCUUGGUUUCCUGCUGUUAACAAUUAUUCAGCAAUGAGUAUUCCUCAAGUCUUGCCUGAACGAGGCAAUGGACUGCAGAGAAUGGUUGGUCCAACAUCUGAAGUUUCAUCAUAUACACCUGAUAUGUACAGAGGCCCUGUUUUACUGUCUUCUCCAGCAGUUUCAUUCCCACCAUCAGCAUUUCAGUAUCCUGGGUUUCCUUUUGGUUCCAGCUUUCCUCUUUCCUCAGCAAAUUUUUCAGGUGCUUCAACACCAUACAUGGACUCUUCAUCAAGUGGCAGGCUAUGCUUCCCUCCUGUCAACUCUCAAAUAUUGGGUCCAGGAGUAGCCAUCCCUUCUAACUACCCAAGGCCUUAUGUCGUUAAUCUCCCAAACAGCAAUGGUGGAGUUUCGGACAGCAACAAUGCAAAAUGGUUGAGAUCUGGUCUUGACUUGAACUCUGGACCAGGAGGGCAUGAAACUGAUGGCAGAGAUGAAGCAGCACUUGUACAAAGACAGCUAUCUUCCUCUGGUUCUUUACCCUUGAAAGAUGAAGCAAGAAUGUAUCAAAUGUUUGGUGGUACUCUCAAGAGGAAGGAACCAGACAGUGGUGGAUGGGAUGGAUACACGCAACCCUCUUGGCAAUAACAAACCUCAGAAUCUCUUUGUAGGCCGUUGCACUAAGCAUGUAAGCAUAUUUUUACUCUCUUCUUUCAGCUCUACCAUCUUCUGUUUCUUUAUAUUAUCUCUCGCUGACUGUGUUUCUAAUUCAAUCUUUGUUGGCUCUUAGGUACUCUUGAAGAUAAAAGCAGACGCUAACUUAGUUCCUUAUCUCUUUUAGAGAUGCAAGCGAGUGUUUAGUUUAUGUUUUUUUUUUCUCUUUUUUUUGGAGCUCUGCUGUAAAAGAAAAAAUGAUGGUCAUUGUUGGUAUGAGACUGGUAAAAUCUGACAUGGUUUGUGUAUUAUAUAGUCAGCAGCAACUCUUUUGUAGAUUUUUUUUACUUGUGGUUAGUUAUGUUUGAAUCCACAUUUCAGAACUUUGUCUCUGUUAUAACAAAAUGGCUCAUAUAUUGCAAAUUUGCAAUAACAGGUAGUAACUGAUUGUACCAUCUGCUAACUCAACCCACAUGUGUACAUAGUUCCUCCAAAAAUCUCUCUCUCCCCUGCGGUUUUCCCUUGGUGGUUGAAAGCUUGGGAUUCAAGAGAGGUUUUGCAGAGGAAGAAAAUGGUUAUUGUGCUGCAGAAGCCAUGUAACAACCAAAGGGGAGAUUUUGUACCACUUCCUGGUACAAUAUAGGGAACAGUUACAGCAAACGAAGCAAGGCUUUGGGUUAAGAAACUCCACUAUACAGCAAACUACGCAGCUCUUUUUGAUUUGAAUGAUUCAUUAUACCUUGAUACAAAACCGUGCAAAUGGUUGUCCUAAGAUUCUUUAAAGAACCUGCAUUGCUUCCACUCCACUGAUCCCAACUCCUAUAUCUGCUUCUUGAAGCAUUCCUAACAUCUUUUGCACCAUCUCCAAUUGCCAAUUUUGACUAGUCUUGUCACCUAUGCAAAUAUGGAACCUUCAGUUAGCUUAACCUUACUGUCUCAAAAUCUUUGAGAUGUUCUACAUAUUUUGUGCCUUGUGAAGAACAUGUUUUGGAGCUAUCGGUGAGUGAAGAAGACAUGUCACUGGAAGCUACUCAAAUAGCUUCUUAGUCUCAUUGUAAAAAAAGUUAAUGUCUGUGUCAAAGAGAGACAAUGAUUGGUCACUUGUACUUUGAUGACAGUGAUUUGACACUGGACAAUGUAACCACAAGAUCCUCCCAUAAAAAUCAUAAGCAAAUAACUUGUUGUGGAGGGUAGGUCACCACAUUCAAACCGAAAUCAGCCAGAAUAAACCGGAUCAAAUCACAAAAAUUAUUAUAUAAACUGAUCGGUUUUGUAAACUUGUAGAAACAACUUGUUCAUGAUUAAAAUUUUAAUUUGCUUGUUAUAUAGAUAAUCUCUCUUCUAGUUUUUUUCCACUUAAAACAGAAUUUCUCAAAUACAUAAAGAUUUUACUCCAUUUUUUUUACGACACCCAUUUUAUAAGAUCAAGUGUUAGUAGGAGCUGAGACGUUCCGAAGAAACGCUUCCUCCGACUGUAUCUGAUUUACAUGGAAAAAAAACUCCACUAUUUCUUGCCUUUUUGGUAAGAAAAUUUACACAGAUAUUUCUGAAUCUAAGGAUAUGGGAGAUGCAAAUUUUACUCUAAUAUAUUAUAUAUUUUUUUUUCUAUUUUUAUAUGAAUGUUAUAUUUUCUUCUAUAAAUAUUAGAUAAUACUUCUUCUGUUUCUUGAGAAGUGUGUCUUAGAGUUUUUUUUUGUUUCAAAAAGUGUGUUUUAUUGUGUUUUCAAUACAAAAUUUUAAAUAAAUGUUCAUUUUUAAUCUUAAUGUAAUAGUGUAUUAAAUAAAAAAAGAAUUUAGUGUGUCAACGGAAAAAAUAGAGUUUCUAAUUAAUUUUUUAAUACACGUGAAUUUUUUUCAGAAGACAUUUUUUAUGAAACAAAACGAGAGUGAAACUCACAUUUUACUUUUCGAGUUUAUUGAUUGAAAAUGAUCCUAAAUUUCGUUUGAUUUUAUAAAUGAUCAGACUUUUUUUUGUGUUUAACCCAAAUAAUUUUUUUUUUUAAAUCACGAAGUUCGUUUUGUUUUAAAUUUAGGAAAAAAUUAGAAAAUCAAAAAAGCUAUUAAAAGGGGGGGUGGGGGGGGAGAAAAGAAAACACACUCAAAUGUCACCAGAAAACCAAAAAACAAAAUAAAUAAAAACGCUGCCCGAAACACAUGCCCGAACUGCCCCGACUCGUAGUACCCCCCUUUUGCCUUCAUCUCUUCUCUUUCUCUCGAUUUUAUUUUUUCUUCUUCUUCUUCUUCGCUGGAUCGAAAAACAAACAAGGGCGUGCUUUCGAUUCGUGUUCAAUCUCUCUCGCACUCUACGGGGGUUUCUGCUUCUUCUCGCUGUUGGAUCUUCGCGGGUUGAUUGGAUCAGGUACUCGAUUUCAAAAAUCAAUCCCUAAGGAAUCGCAUCUUCUUCUUUUAAUCUCAAUUAGGGUUUUUUUUUUUCAAUUGUAAUCGAAAACCAAUUCUGAAAAGGAAGACGAAAUUGUGUUUGUUUUGAUUCGAAAGGGGAAAAAAUGAGAGACGGCUAUGCAUGGGAGGGAGAAAGGUCAUCGUCGUCUGCUUAUGUUUAGACCUCCUUCGCGUCUAAUCUCAACCGCUUCUUCUUCUUCGUCUCUCUCUCUUUCUUCACCUUCUUCGUUCUCUAAGGUAACUUGAUUCGUGUCAACUGGCUUUGAUUGGUUCCGAUUUGAUUUAAAGUUUUGAUCUUUUUUUUCGCAGGACGGGAGGAGGAUUAGUGUUGGUGACUGUGCUCUGUUCAAGCCGCCUCAGGAUUGUCCACCGUUCGUUGGUUUGAUCCGUUUGCUGGUUCCGGAACGAGAAGGAGGCAGCUUUAAGGUUCGUGUGAAUUGGCUGUAUCGACCCGGUGAGUUGAAGCUUGGCAAGGGCGUCCUUUUGGAGGCUCAGCCUAACGAAGUCUUCUACUCCUUUCACGAGGAUGAGAUACCUGCUGCGUCUUUGCUUCAUCCGUGUAAAGUUACCUUUCUUCCCAAAGGCGUUGAACUCCCAUCUGGAAUCUCUUCGUUUGUUUGCUGGAGGGUUUAUGAUGUUAUGAACGAGUCUAUUUGGUGGCUCACUGAUCAAGAUUAUAUCGAUG